rnacentral:rRNA from 1 species
UACGAAGGGGGCUAGCGUUGCUCGGAAUCACUGGGCGUAAAGCGCACGUAGGCGGAUCUUUAAGUCAGGGGUGAAAUCCCAAGGCUCAACCUUGGAACUGCCUUUGAUACUGUCGGACUAGAGUCCGGAAGAGGCAAGUGGAAUUCCCGGUGUAGCGGUGAAAUGCGCAGAUAUCGGGAGGAACAUCAAUGGCGAAGGCAGCUUGCUGGGACGGUACUGACGCUGAGGCGCGAAAAGCGUGGGGA